rnacentral:misc_RNA from 1 species
AUUUUUUUCUCCUCAAAAACCCCUUUUUCCUAAAGCUUCCUCUCCCCUCUUCCCUCCUCCUUUUCUCUUCUCCGGUGAGAGGCCAAGACUAGCGUUAACGAGAAGAACGACGAAGCAGCUGACGCCGGUAGCCUCCAGCGACACUUGGCAGGCCGUGUAAAAGCUUAGAGACGCAAUAAAUGUGUUGGGCAGAGAGAGAGCGACAACGCGAUUUCUUUUAACCCAUCAGAUCUCCUCCAUCCGGCCACAACGGAGACAAGUGUUGGGUCCAACCAACUUGCCAGAGAAUAGCAAGCAUUGUUAAGUAUUAUCACUAUAAUGUUCUAUCCAAGAUUACAUAAUUAAAUACAUAUCAGAGAAAUAAAUUGAUCUUUGGCGCUUUUUGAUCAAAUGUCGUCCAAAUGAGAGUAA